GUGAGUGUGUGUGUGUGUGUAUAUGCCUCCUGUGUGUGUGCGUGCGUGUUUGUGCUGUGUGUCUGUGUGUGCGUGUGUGCUCCCCGUGUGUGCGCGUGUGAGUGUGUGGUGCGGUGUGAGUGUGUGGUGUGUGUUUGUGUGCGUGUGUGUGUGUGCGUGUGUGUGCCUCUGUGUGUGCGUGUGUGUGUGCUUGUGUGUGUAUGUGUAUCCCCCGCGUUUGUGUGUGUGUGUGUGUGUGUGUAUCCAUGUGUGCGUGCGUGUGUGUGUGUACGUGAGUGUGUGUGUGUGUAUGUUUGCGUGUGUGUGUCCUGUGUGUGCGUGUGUGUGCCCCUGUGUGUGCGUGUGUGUGUGUGUAUGUGUGUGUCCCCUGCGUGUGCGUGUUUGUGUGUGUGGUGUGUGUGUGUGUGUGUGUGUGUGUGCAUAGAGUACCUCCUAAACAAAAAUAUUUGAAAUAAGAAAUUUAGCUUGCUUUUCAACUGCAUGUUUUGUGGUUUUGUAGGCUCUAAACUAACUCAGCUUCUACACAAGUAUACUUUACACACUCAUACACAUAGUUAUAAUACACACAUGCCUGGAAUUGAAACAUGUAACCACCAGUGUUAUCGAAAGCGUACGAUGCUCAUCAAACCAGUUUGUCAAGAGGAUAGGAGUUGAAACAAGGUCAGAUUCUUCCAUCAUAUUCUUCCAUCAUUCUGAAGGACAUCAUGAUGUUGGAACAGCUUGUCGUGGAAGAUUUAAAACACAUCUCAGCUUGUUGUUCUCUGCUGCAUUCGAUAACACUGCAUCAAAUGGUGGUUACAUGUUUAAAUUCCAGGUAUUGCAAAGCAUUAUGAAGAGCAGCAGGAAAAACCUAGAUGUUUGGAUUGGCAUGGGAUGUUGAAAAGCUGGGCCGCAUCAAUGAGAGUGACUUGUAGUGGAAAGUAGAGCUAUGACAUGACAAGCUGCGUGAUCCUGCUUACGAUAAAGUUUCUGAAAACUUUCCCAGGAAAUUGAAAAGCUGUCCAGUUUUUAAAGAAAUCAAUGAAAUUUAAACGUACCCCGGCUACUCAUGUGCUUGUGGUAAUGAUUAGCCCAGAAGAGAAACCUUAUGCUCAGUGUGUAGCAUAUCAUUCUUUAAAAGAUGAAGCUGUCCGGUCUCUUGUCAAUUCAAUGAUCAAAGAAAUGACUUCAAGAGGAAUGAAAAUAGCUGGUAAGUAUACUGCAUGCAUAACGGUACUCUAUAAUGCAGGAUUUGUUACGAGUGGAAUUCAUUAAGAUCAAAGGGGAGAGAACGUUCACUCAGUUUUUGAGAUCCGUGCUCAAGUUCGUCGAAAGUCUAUGACAGAUAUGUUAUAACGCCCAAAGAGUUAUCAGGAGGCUCUUUGCAUGGCUCUUUGCAUGGUAUUGAAGGACUUGUCUUAGUGAAGAAGAAUGCUCAAUGGAAGAUGGAUAUGACUAUCAUCGUCAGUCAGUAUAUAUAAUUAUGUCAUAUAGAUCAGUUAUGUUAGUGACAUAAUAAUAUCUAUUGACCAUCUCAUUAUCAGGAAAGAAGGAAAAAAAGAACACAUGUUGCGUUCUAUACUGGCUCAGUAUGAGUACACCUUUCGGGUGCUCCAGUAUUGUGAACAAGGAAUCAGUUUUGACAAGCAUUUGCACAUUCCAGAGGUUAACACGGUGAAGUCCUCUGACCUAUUUAAGUGUAGUAUUUAACAUUCAAUGUGCAUUAACAUUUUGCUUAUAGCACUUCUGAUCAAUCAAUUAUGCAAAUAUGCAUGUAAAUAGCACUUCUGAUCAAUCAAUUAUGCAUGUAUGCAUAAUUGAUUGUAUUAUAAUUUAUAUGCACAUGGAACAUGGAACAGAGGAUCGGAAACACUCUUCGUGAGGUUAGACGACAACAGAAUGGAAUAUUUUGUAGAAGCUGUCAAAGAUCCAAGCACUAGUCUCACAUACCCUGCUUUAACUGGAGUGCGUGCGUAAGCAAGAUGUUAAGCGCUUUUAUUUGGUGAAGGAGUGAUCAAAUUUAUGGAAGCAAAGCAAUAUAUGCCUGCAUCUAUCUAAGAGUUGUGCGGACCUCAUGCCUUGGUAUACUCAUAGCAAGGAUUUCAGCCUGCUGGAAGUUAACAGGUGUGUAACUUACUCUGUCCAUCGUGUAAAUUCAGCGGAUUCACCAGAGAAACCUUAAUUGGUGUCACCGCUGACAGCAGGGGCGUAGCUAGACAUUUACUAAAGGGGUUUCUGAAGGAAUAAGGCGGCGCAAUAGCGCCGCGAAAAUUUUGAGGUCACGCCCCUUAAUUAUGGCUGCAUUUUUUGAUAUAAAGUCGUAGCUCCUCGGCCUCAUCUCCUAGUUUCAGUACCAUUGGCAUUGACAGUGGGCAUGAGUUGUUGGCUGAGAAUCAAAGUGUGGUGAGACUGCAUAUACAUGCAGUCUGGAGUCUGAGCAUGCAGUAGAGGAACUGGGCUGACAAUCAGGUCUCUUAUCUUGGAUUGCAGAAGCUAAACUAGUAUUAAUAAUAGGCAUUGAAAUAAAUCCAGGCUAGUCUCCAGCCAUUAGCAGUAUACACUGUAAAAUACAGUCUGGAGUCCUGACUCUGAGCAGUAGUGGGCUGAUCUUGGUCGGAUUGCAGAAGGUAACUAAUAGGCACAAUAAAUACAGACUGGAUAUUAAUCUACUCUUAACUUCAGCACAUGAUCAGCCCCACCCAUUUUCAGCAAGCAAGAGAACCAUUAAGCUACGCCCCUGGACACACUGUCCAGAAUGUGGCGACACACUUUCAAUAAAGCAUUCCUUCAAGAGCCUUUAGCGUGCUGAGGGAUUGUGUUGGCAAAGACUUUACUCUAAAGCAGGUAUAUUAUGGGUGGAGAAAAAUCACUCUUGAAUUCAAGAAAAAAAGAAUGGAUACUACUACACUGUUAUGAAGGAGAUUUGCCAGGGUUUGAUCAACCAGCCCCAACGAGAGCUUCUAGUUCCAGGAGAGGCAGCCUGUCCAUCUGGGCAACAUUUCAUAAUUGACCCGUGAAUCUUCCUCCUCUACCGAAUGCGAGUGUAUCUUCUCUAAACUCUUCUCUAAACUCUUCUCUAAACUGUAUAAUUUAUAUAUAUAUAUCAUGUAUUAGUUUGAUAUAUUGCUAAUGCCCAAGGGCCGCAGGCAUCCAGUGCAUAUGGCAUGUUGCACGAGGGCGCCUGCAAUAACUAACUUGUUGCCCAAUGUCGUCUGACUGGCCAUAUAAAUCGUAAUAAAAGACAUGUGUUUUGAAGGAAUUUAGUGUAUUCAUUAGUUUUGCUGAAUUCCAUAGUAAAUUUUUAGGUUUUCAUCCCACUAGUAGUAGUAGCCUAUAAAAGGGACCAAAGGUGUCCCAAAUGGAUAUCUCUUAAAGAAAUCUACUGCAUUUACACACAGUAUAUGGUAGCCAUGGUAGCCAUGGCAGUGAUGCAACAUGCCAUAUACUGGGCAACAAAAUUAUAUACAUGCAUGCUAAGUCCAUGCAUUAUACCUAUAUAUGAUUGUAGCAAAAUUAACGUAUACUACAAUUAUACGUUGUCAUUUUAUACUUCAGCUCUAAAUGAUGUAAGAGUUUCAAGUAAUAAAAACAGAAAUGUAAUAAAAACAGAAAUGAAAGCUUCAAGCCAUGCGAUGAACGAAACUUCAGAAAACGUUGCAAGCUUUAUCGUAGCUCUAAGCAAAUAGAUUGAUCACAAGUGUUU